rnacentral:misc_RNA from 1 species
GAUGAAGAACGUAGCGAAAUGCGAUAAGUAAUGUGAAUUGCAGAAUUCAGUGAAUCAUCGAAUCUUUGAACGCACAUUGCGCCCGGUAGUAUUCUGCCGGGCAUGCCUGUUCGAGCGUCAUUUCAACCAUCAAGCCCCAGCGCUUGUGUUGGGGGCCUGCGGCUGCCGCAGCCCCCUAAAAGCGGUGGCGGGCUCGCUAUCACACCGAGUGCAGUAGUUCAUCUUCUCUCCGGUCUUGUGAGGCGGGUUCCGGCCGUGAAACACCCCACUACAUUCAAGGUUGACCUCGGAUCAGGUAGGAAUACCCGCUGAACUUAAGCAUAUCAAUAAGCGGAGGA